AGCAGCCGCGGUAAUUCCAGCUCCAAUAGCGUAUAUUAAAGUUGUUGCAGUUAAAAAGCUCGUAGUUGAAUUUCGGGAUCAAUCUGCCGGUCGUGCCUCCGGUAUGCACUGGUUUUAUUGGUUUCUCCCUUCUGACGAAUCAUGAUGUCAUUAAUUUGGUGUCAUGGGGAAUCAGGACUGUUACUUUGAAAAAAUUAGAGUGUUUAAAGCAGGCUCACGCUUGAAUACAUUAGCAUGGAAUAAUGAAAUAGGACGUUUGACCCUAUUUUGUUGGUUUCUAGGAUCGACGUAAUGAUUAAUAGGGAUAGUUGGGGGCAUUAGUAUUCAAUUGUCAGAGGUGAAAUUCUUGGAUUUAUUGAAGACUAACUACUGCGAAAGCAUUUGCCAAGGAUGUUUUCAUUAAUCAAGAACGAAAGUUAGGGGAUCGAAGACGAUCAGAUACCGUCGUAGUCUUAACCAUAAACUAUGCCGACUAGGGAUCGGAUGAUGUUAAUUUUUUAAUGACUCAUUCGGCGCCUUA
rnacentral:rRNA from 1 species